rfam:Schistosoma haematobium scaffold1218_7, whole genome shotgun sequence.
GUCCAGAUGACUAUUCCCAAAUAGGACGAAACGCGCGUCCUGGAU